rnacentral:rRNA from 1 species
GAUGAACGCUGACGGCGUGCCUAAUACAUGCAAGUCGAGCGAAUGGAUUAAGAGCUUGCUCUUAUGAAGUUAGCGGCGGACGGGUGAGUAACACGUGGGUAACCUGCCCAUAAGACUGGGAUAACUCCGGGAAACCGGGGCUAAUACCGGAUAACAUUUUGAACCGCAUGGUUCGAAAUUGAAAGGCGGCUUCGGCUGUCACUUAUGGAUGGACCCGCGUCGCAUUAGCUAGUUGGUGAGGUAACGGCUCACCAAGGCAACGAUGCGUAGCCGACCUGAGAGGGUGAUCGGCCACACUGGGACUGAGACACGGCCCAGACUCCUACGGGAGGCAGCAGUAGGGAAUCUUCCGCAAUGGACGAAAGUCUGACAGAGCAACGCCGCGUGAGUGAUGAAGGCUUUCGGGUCGUAAAACUCUGUUGUUAGGGAAGAACAAGUGCUAGUUGAAUAAGCUGGCACCUUGACGGUACCAAACCAGAAAGCCACGGCUAACUACGUGCCAGCCGCCGCAGUAA